rnacentral:rRNA from 1 species
UUCGGCUAUCGCUUACAGAUGGGCCCGCGGUGCAUUAGCUAGUUGGUAGGGUAAUGGCCUACCAAGGCAACGAUGCAUAGCCGACCUGAGAGGGUGAUCGGCCACACUGGGACUGAGACACGGCCCAGACUCCUACGGGAGGCAGCAGUAGGGAAUCUUCCGCAAUGGACGAAAGUCUGACGGAGCAACGCCGCGUGUAUGAAGAAGGUUUUCGGAUCGUAAAGUACUGUUGUUAGAGAAGAACAAGGAUAAGAGUAACUGCUUGUCCCUUGACGGUAUCUAACCAGAAAGCCACGGCUAACUACGUGCCAGCAGCCGCGGUAAUACGUAGGUGGCAAGCGUUGUCCGGAUUUAUUGGGCGUAAAGCGCGCGCAGGCGGUCUUUUAAGUCUGAUGUGAAAGCCCCCGGCUUAACCGGGGAGGGUCAUUGGAAACUGGAAGACUGGAGUGCAGAAGAGGAGAG